GAAGGGCCAUAGCUCAGAGGUAGAGCACCUGCUUUUUAUGCAGAAGGUCCUAGCUUGAAUCACCAGCAUCUUUA